rnacentral:rRNA from 1 species
CCUACGGGUGGCAGCAGUGAGGAAUAUUGGUCAAUGGACGAGAGUCUGAACCAGCCAAGUAGCGUGAAGGAUGACUGCCCUAUGAGUUGUAAACUUCUUUUAUAAAGGAAUAAAACGAGGCACGUGUGCCUUUUUGAAUGUACUUUAUGAAUAAGGAUCGGCUAACUCCGUGCCAGCAGCCGCGGUAAUACGGAGGAUGCGAGCGUUAUCCGGAUUUAUUGGGUUUAAAGGGUGCGCAGGCGGAGGCACAAGUCAGCGGUAAAAUCCCGGGGCUAAACCCCGCUCCGCCGUUGAUACUGUGUCCCUAGAGUGCGCGAACGGUAGGCGGAAUGUGUGGUGUAGCGGUGAAAUGCUUAGAUAUCACGCAGAACCCCGAUUGCGAAGGCAGCCUACCGGCGCGCAACUGACGCUCAUGCACGAAAGCGUGGGGAUCGAACAGGAUUAGAUACCCCUGUAGUC